rnacentral:sRNA from 2 species
AAAUACGAUUGUUAGGUGAGGCUCCUACAAAGAUAUAUGCUACUGCCCAGAAAAAUCGAGAGAUUCCAAUGGGUUAACAGAAAUAAUCGUGAAGGUUAUUUCUAAUGUAGCUGACGAAGAGUCUACGCUUUGUAGUGCUAAAGCUCAACAAUAAAGAAAUGUA